UGGACGAAAGUCUGAUGGAGCAAUGCCGCGUGAGUGAAGAAGGUUUUCGGAUCGUAAAGCUCUGUUGUAAGGGAAGAACAAGUACAGGAGUAACUGCCUGUACCUUGACGGUACCUUACCAGAAAGCCACGGCUAACUACGUGCCAGCAGCCGCGGUAAUACGUAGGUGGCAAGCGUUGUCCGGAAUUAUUGGGCGUAAAGCGCGCGCAGGCGGUCCUUUAAGUCUGAUGUGAAAGCCCACGGCUCAACCGUGGAGGGUCAUUGGAAACUGGAGGACUUGAGUACAGAAGAGGAAAGCGGAAUUCCACGUGUAGCGGUGAAAUGCGUAGAGAUGUGGAGGAACACCAGUGGCGAAGGCGGCUUUCUGGUCUGUAACUGACGCUGAGGCGCGAAAGCGUGGGGAGCAAACAGGAUUAGAUACCCUGGUAGUCCACGCCGUAAACGAUGAGUGCUAAGUGUUAGGGGGUUUCCGCCCCUUAGUGCUGCAGCUAACGCAUNAAGCACUCCGCCUGGGGAGUACGGCCGCAAGGCUGAAACUCAAAGGAAUUGACNGGGACCCGCACAAGCGGUGGAGCAUGUGGUUUAAUUCGAAGC
rnacentral:rRNA from 1 species